AGAGUUUGAUCCUGGCUCAGGAUGAACGCUAGCUACAGGCUUAACACAUGCAAGUCGAGGGGCAGCAUGUUGGUUGCUUGCAACCAACGAUGGCGACCGGCGCACGGGUGAGUAACGCGUAUCCAACCUACCCUUGUCCAUCGGAUAACCCGUCGAAAGACGGCCUAACACGAUAUGCGGUUCACAGCAGGCAUCUAACGUGAACGAAAUAGUAAAGGAGAAGGAUGGGGAUGCGUCUGAUUAGCUUGUUGGCGGGGUAACGGCCACAAGGCUACGAUCAGUAGGGGUUCUGAGAGGAAGGUCCCCCANAUUGGAACUGAGACACGGUCCAAACUCCUACGGGAGCA
rnacentral:rRNA from 1 species